rnacentral:rRNA from 1 species
UGGGGAAUAUUGCACAAUGGGCGCAAGCCUGAUGCAGCAACGCCGCGUGAGGGAUGAAGGCCUUCGGGUUGUAAACCUCUUUUAGCAGGGAAGAAGCGAAAGUGACGGUACCUGCAGAAAAAGCGCCGGCUAACUACGUGCCAGCAGCCGCGGUAAUACGUAGGGCGCAAGCGUUGUCCGGAAUUAUUGGGCGUAAAGAGCUCGUAGGCGGUUUGUCGCGUCUGCUGUGAAAAUCCGAGGCUCAACCUCGGACCUGCAGUGGGUACGGGCAAACUAGAGUGCGGUAGGGGAGAUUGGAAUUCCUGGUGUAGCGGUGGAAUGCGCAGAUAUCAGGAGGAACACCAAUGGCGAAGGCAGAUCUCUGGGCCGUAACUGACGCUGAGGAGCGAAAGCGUGGGGAGCGAACAGG